GCCGCCAUAUGGCUCGCCUUCGCUGGUCCCCUCGGCCGUCUAGCUCCCCCGCGCCGCUCCCUUCCGCCGUCUAGUUACCCCGCGCUACGAAGCUUGGAUUUUUCUGCCCAAGGUUCGAUUUUGCUGUCCAAUACACCGCCACACUCUUGCUUUCCCACGCCACCUUGAUGGAUCUGGGAGCAGCGCUGCUCGAUGUGCUCCCUGACGGCAAUCCUCGUUCUUCACCGUCGCCACCGAUGCACGGGAGCGACCUCAACUUCACUAGCAGCAUGGGCCAUCGGCCCCCAUCCCCGCUUGAGGUACUGCUCCUUCUUCAGGGAGUGGAGGAGAGUGCCGGCGAGCAGGCCUGCUAAGUUGCGACACCCGCAUCCGCACCUCGAUCCCGACCAUGAAGUUCCUCCUCAAGAAGGGCGCAAUCCUGGCCAGCCAUCUGUAUUUUAGUGGAUGGAUGCCACCCAUACUCAGAGGAUCUCUGGAAAACCUUAAAGAGAGAGGAAUAUUUGGUACUGAACCAACUGAAACUAUGCUGACAUUCCGGUCUGGUGAAGUGAUCAUGUGGUGAACUCACGGUUUUCUUAUGUUCUCAUGUGGACAGUUAAGUAAAACAAAACAUAUCUUGCUGCGUGUGAGCUGCAAACUCUACAACGAUGGAUCAGUAUGAGGUUUUGUAGCAGAUUGGGAAAGGAGCAUUUGGCUCCGCUCUGUUGGUGAGGCAUAAGGUGGAGAAGAAGUGAGGCUCACUAGCACAUUCUGAUGGUAUGGAGCUCUGUUUCUCCUGCUGGUAUGUGCUGAAGAAGAUUCGGCUUACGCGACAAACCGACCGCACUCGCCGGUCUGCACACCAGGAGGUAACAGUUCAACGACGAGGACGGCGAGCUUGUUCAGGGGAGGACGACGUUCUUGUCCAGGGAGCAGAGGAGCAGC